rnacentral:tRNA from 1 species
GAUUAGUAUAGUGGUAGUACAGCGGACUCUGAAUCCGUAGGCCAAGGUUCGAAUCCUUG